ensembl:snRNA U6 U6 spliceosomal RNA
AUGCUUCAGCAGCACAUAUAUUAAAAUUAUAAUGACACAGAGAAGAUUAGCGUGGCCCCUGGGCAAGGGUGACAUGUAAAUUUAUGAAGUGUUUCUUAUUUUU